UACAGAGGUCCCAAGCGUUGUUCGGAUUCACUGGGCGUAAAGGGUAGGUAGGUGGUCUCAUUUGUCUGGGGUGAAAGCCUUGAGCUUAACUCAAGAAGUGCCCUAGAAACGGUGAGACUAGAGUCCUGGAGAGGGUCGUGGAAUUCCCGGUGUAGCGGUGAAAUGCGUAGAGAUCGGGAGGAACACCAGCGGCGAAGGCGGCGACCUGGACAGGUACUGACGCUCAACUACGAAAGCGUGGGGAGCAAACAGG
rnacentral:rRNA from 1 species